rnacentral:piRNA from 1 species
AGCAAUAGCCUGGCGACCAAGUGCUG